rnacentral:rRNA from 1 species
AGUGAACGCUGGCGGUAGGCCUAACACAUGCAAGUCGAACGGCAGCACAGUAAGAGCUUGCUCUUACGGGUGGCGAGUGGCGGACGGGUGAGGAAUACAUCGGAAUCUACUUUUUCGUGGGGGAUAACGUAGGGAAACUUACGCUAAUACCGCAUACGACCUACGGGUGAAAUCAGGGGAUCUUCGGACCUUGCGCGAUUGAAUGAGCCGAUGUCGGAUUAGCUAGUUGGCGGGGUAAAGGCCCACCAAGGCGACGAUCCGUAGCUGGUCUGAGAGGAUGAUCAGCCACACUGGAACUGGGACACGGUCCAGACUCCUACGGGAGGCAGCAGUGGGGAAUAUUGGACAAUGGGCGCAAGCCUGAUCCAGCCAUGCCGCGUGGGUGAAGAAGGCCUUCGGGUUGUAAAGCCCUUUUGUUGGGAAAGAAAAGCAGCAGGUUAAUACCCCGCUGUUCUGACGGUACCCAAAGAAUAAGCACCGGCUAACUUCGUG